ensembl:lncRNA uncharacterized LOC107213910
GAGGAGUUUGAUGGCUCCAGAGGGGUUGUGGGUUAGAAAGUGAUGCUGAAGGAGGAUCUGGUGUUGGGAAGCAUCUGGGAUUGGACACCCACAAGCCAAAUUUUGGCUCCUAAACUGUGACUUUGCUGCUUUCCUGUAUCCUGAGGAUCAGCUGUGUUAAAUAUCUCCCAUCUCCUUCCCUAGCAGAAGAUGUCCCUGCCCGUGACAGGGGGUUAGAACCAGAUGGUUUUUGUGGUUCCUUCCAACCCAAACCAUUCUGGGAUUCUAUGAUUCUGACCUAUGACAGAAAUACCAUCCCAAAAAAUCAAUCUGAUCUCCAUUUUUCCAUCAAACAGCUAAAAAUCAUGAGUUUGGAGUGCCUCCUUUUGCCCUGGGGUUCUCUCUGGAGACAGGUGAAGUCCCAGGGAACCUACACAGAGUUUCCUAGAGCAGAGAUCUUGGGAUGGGAUGGGAUGGGAUGGGAUGGGAUGGGAUGGGAUGGGAUGGGAUGGGAUGGGAUGGGAUGGGAUGGGAUGGGAUGGGGCUGUCCCAGACACCUGCAGGACAUUUGGGGCUCCCCUGGAGACAGUGGAAUGUUGGUGAUAGAAGCCUCCCAUGAGGUCACACAGCCCCCUGAGGGGUCACACAGCUCCCAAGGGGUCACACAGCCGGUCUCUGGUGUGCAGUGUGAGGCUUCAGUGGCCUCAUCAUGACGUGGACACGAUGGGCCAUGGUCACCAUCGUCCUUCUGGCUCUCCAGAGAGCCCUGACCGUCCUGGUGUCUCUGGUGAUCCUGCUAUCCCUGGCAGCCCUGCUAGCCCCCAGGGCCCAGCCCCUCAUGGAGGAGGCAGCCGUGGCUGGAGGCAGUGGAGAUCCAGGUGCUGGAUCUGACUCUCCUGGAUCCUACGUGGCUUUUGAUUUGUUUUGGGAAGUGCCAGAUCAAGGCCCAAAUGUGAGCGAGGCAUCUCCUGCAGGUCUGAAGAAUGAAACUAGAUUGGGAAACAUUUCCUGGCCAUUAAUGGAACAGUCUGAAUUAAUGACUUUACUGAAGGAAACACUUCCAGUGCUGGAGCCUGAGCCUGUGGACAAGGAGACACCUCAGGAAGACCAUCAGGAAGAGCCAGUCCCUGAGGGAAACAGUGAGGCCCUUCAGCCAACAGGUGUAUUCAAGAGAUUCAGCAGUGCUGAGGACAACAAGACAGGUCCAAACACUGUGGAGGACAUGGAAAACACAGGCACAGUGGAUGCUAAAAUCACCUGGAGUAUUUUUAUAAGAGCCUUCCUCGUGUCUGUGGUCUGCAGCCUGAUUGUUCUGCUGCUUCUCAGGGUGGCCCCUGCAUGGGCAAAGGACAUAAAAAAGCGCCUCGCAGCUUUGAGAGCCAAUUCUGAGCUCCUGGACAAUGAGACUGAAGACAAGGAAUUAGUGGUAGAAGUCUAAAUAAAGAUAAGCAGCACAGUGGUGUGUGUGAAAGUUUUGGGUUGGAAGGAAUUCUUGCUCUCUGCUCCCUUGUCUGGAGCCUCCACAUCAUGCAAGACCCAGCCCCAUUAGAUCAGGUCCAGAGAAGGCCA